UAUUUAUUAGGCUCAAACCAAUUCCUUCGGGAUUUUUGGUGAAUCAUAAUAACUGUCGAAUCGCACGGAUUCAUUCCGGCGAUAGAUCAUUCAAGUUUCUGACCUAUCAGCUUUCAAUCGUAGUGUAUUGGACUACGAUGGCUUUGACGGGUGACGGAGAAUUAGGGUUCGAUUCCGGAGAGGGGGCCUGAGAAACGGCCACCACAUCUAAGGAAGGCAGCAGGCGCGCAAAUUACCCAAUUGGAAUUUCCAGAGGUAGUGAAGAUAAAUAACAAUGCCGAAGCUUAUAGCUUUCGGUAAUUGGAAUGAGAACAUUUUAAAUCCCUUAUCGAGUAUCCAUUGGAGGGCAAGUCUGGUGCCAGCAGCCGCGGUAACACCAGCUCCAAUAGCGUAUAUUAAAGUUGCUGCAGUUAAAAAGCUCGUAGUUGGAUAUGGGGCUGAGUUGAGCGAACCUGCUCUUUGAGUGUGAGUUUGCUCAUUCAGUCAUAAUUCCAGUUCGCUAGUAGCAAUACUGGUUAGCUGGAUCUUUUACUUUGAAAAAAUAAGAGUGUUCAAAGCAAGCGUUUUGCUGUGAAUUCAUUAGCAUGGAAUAAUAAAAUAGGACUUUGGCCUAUUUUGUUGGUUAUAGGACCAAAGUAAUGAUUGAUAGGGACAGUUGGGGGUGCUUGUAUUGAACGGCCAGAGGUGAAAUUCUUGGAUUCGUUCAAGACAAACUACUGCGAAAGCAUUCACCAAGGAUGUCUUCUUUAAUCAAGAACGACAGUUGGGGGAUCGAAAACGAUUAGAUACCGUUGUAGUCUCAACCAUAAACUAUGCCGACUAAGGAUCAGUGAACGUUUACAAUAGACUUCACUGGGACUUUACGAGAAAUCAAAGUGUUUGGGUUCUGGGGGGAGUCUGGUCGCAAGUCUGAAACUUAAAGGAAUUGACGGAAGGGCACACAAGGAGUGGAGCCUGCGGCUUAAUUCGACCCAACACGGGAAACCUUACCAGGUCAAGAGACACGAAGGAUUGACAGAUUGCAGAUCUUUCUUGAUUGUGUCAUUGGUGGUGCAUGGCCGUUCUUAGUUGGUGGAGUGAUCUGUCUGGUUAAUUCCGUAAACGAACGAGACUAAGCCCUGCUAAAUAGUCAUAUAUACUCUUGUAUACAAUGACUUCUUAGAGGGACCAUCGGCUUCUAGCCGAAGGAAGCGCUUGGCAAUAACAGGUCUGUGAUGCCCUUAGAUGUUCUGGGCUGCACGCGCGCUACACUGUUGCAUGCAACGAGCAUAUAUCCUUGAUCGAAAGGUCUGGGUAAUCUUGUAAUAUGCAACGUGUUGGGGAUUGAUUAUUGCAAUUAUUAGUCAUGAACCAGGAAUUCCUAGUAAACGUGAGUCAUCAGCUCACAUUGAUUAUGUCCCUGCCCUUUGUACACACCGCCCGUCGCUCCUACCGAUUGAAUGAUCCGGUGAAAUCCUUGGACUUUGUUAUUUGAACAGAUCGCUGAUCUUAUUUCGAGGGAAAUCGAUUAAACCUUAUCAUUUAGAGGAAGGAGAAGUCGUAACAAGGUU
rnacentral:rRNA from 1 species